rnacentral:rRNA from 1 species
UGGGGAAUAUUGCACAAUGGGGGAAACCCUGAUGCAGCGACGCCGCGUGAGUGAAGAAGUAUUUCGGUAUGUAAAGCUCUAUCAGCAGGGAAGAAAGAAGACGGUACCUGACUAAGAAGCCCCGGCUAACUACGUGCCAGCAGCCGCGGUAAUACGUAGGGGGCAAGCGGUAUCCGGAUUUACUGGGUGUAAAGGGAGCGUAGACGGAAUAGCAAGUCUGAUGUGAAAACCCGGGGCUCAACCCCGGGAGUGCAUUGGAAACUGUUGAUCUGGAGUGUCGGAGAGGCAAGCGGAAUUCCUAGUGUAGCGGUGAAAUGCGUAGAUAUUAGGAGGAACACCAGUGGCGAAGGCGGCUUGCUGGACGAUGACUGACGUUGAGGCUCGAAAGCGUGGGGAGCAAACAGG